UACGAGUAGUCCAUGCUCCGGCUAUCGAAAAAUAAACAAAAAUAUUCCUUUUGUGUGUCGUAAAUUGUAUUGGUAAAUUAGUUAGCAUUCUCUGGGCAUAAAGAUAAAAGUAUUGAUAUAAAGGCUAUAUUUUCGUUCAAACAUCUUUGAAAUUUACCGGCAUUUGUUCCGUUAUGUUGCCAAACAAUAAACAAUUUUCUUGCUGGUAUCUUCAAAAGCUUUAUUAAUUUCAUAUGAUAUGUCGCCUUAAGAGCUGUUUUCAAAUAAUUGAUAAUUUUACCCUUCUCUGAAUUCCAUACGGCAAACAACUCUGCAUUUUCGAAUUUGAGGUUAUGCUCUAUUAAUGCAAGUUCCAAGAAUUUUGGUGAAAAGUGAAAGGGACAGUGAUAAAUGAUAAAUAAUGAUAAACUGUGCCCCGUAAAACCUAUAAAAAUGCCGAGCCAGGGUCCAGGCUCAAGAGGUUCCUAUUCGAGAGAUCGAUCACUGAGUGGUAUCCACAUUUGUCCACUGUUCGCGUUGUGGAGCUGUAGCAGUAAUCCACCCAGCCAGCAAAAUUGGAUCCAUGCUGCCUCCCAGGGGCGCAUCUCUAGCUAUCGAAGAUUGCGAAAAAGUAUUUUUUACUCGUUUUCUUUAUGUCUUUCAUUAAAUAUAUAUAUA